AUUGUCAUACAUACGUAAAUCUAUGUAAUUAUUGAGCAAGAAAUUUCCUCCAGAAAUACCGUGUUGCGAUAUAAGUAGUAAUAUGUCAUGGUAUGCAUUUAUUGAUGACGUGAUGGUUCGGAGAUGUAAUUUCUAUUAAAGAUGGUCCAAAAAAGUGGAAUUCUUAGUGAGGCGGUGCAAUAGCAAACAACUAUUUAAAAAAAUUAGACGGCAAAAUUUUUGCAUCACCGCUCUUGGUACCAUUUUUUACUGGAAGAUUUCAUCUAUGACUUCAGUUAUCAGAAUUCUCGCCUAUGGUGAAGACAAUUGCCCAGCCUGCACCGACCGAGUUAAACACGUGUUAUAUUGGUGUCCCCGGUGUAAAUCCCGUGUUGGGUGCAUUAUUCGUAUAAAUAUUUUUUUAAACACGAAAUUAAUUCGUGAAAAAAGACCGAAUUUUACACCGCAUCUUCAAAACGAAUUUUCUCGAUUAAAACACGUGAAAUACUCGAGUAUGCUAAUAACCCGAGACUCGUGUCAUAAUCGCGAGAAAUACACGAACUUUACCAGUGUUUUUGCACAUGCGAAACUAAACACUGUCCCUUUGUUAUUGAGGUGGGAGAAUUAUUUUGUUGCAUGUCUCACAUAAUAAAACCAAAAAGUAUGGACAAGACACGAUCUAGAAAAUUAUUUCGCAAAGCAAGACAAGGAACGUCGGAUUUUUCCUUACUUUCUGAAAGUGGUGAUCGAAAAAAUCAGACAACGCCAAAGCCACACCCAAAAACUUCUCAUCCUGAGGCCGCAACUCCGCAGUUCGAUUCGAUUUCUGGGGCAGAUGACCUGUACUCUUCGGACUACUCUGAUAGUCAUAUCUUCACAGAGUCAGAUUCUAGUGAUAGUGAUUGUGAUAAGACUGAUACCAGCAGUUGUACAAGUGAUUUAAGAACAUGGGCAGUUAAACAUAAUAUUACUUUCUCUGCUUUGAGUGAUCUGCUGGAUAUUUUAAAACGACGUCCUGGCUUCGAUUUACCAAGCGAUCCAAGGACACUAUUACGUACGCCAAGAACUUGUGCUAUUGAAAAGGUUGAACCGGGCGAGUAUGUACAUUUUGAGUGGAUUUCAUUAAUAGAAAAAUUACUUAAAGGUGCACAGUGUACAACCAACAUUCAAAUUAAUAUUGACGGAAUUCCUCUCUAUAAAAGCAGUGCCAGACAAUUUUGGCCAAUUUUAGCGAAUAUUGUAGAAUUUAAUGAAGUUAUUGUAAUAGGCAUUUAUUCUGGUCUGGGAAAGCCCGCAAAUAUUAACGAUUUUUUGAGUAGAUUUGUCAACCAAUUCAUUAGAUUAGAACAGUCAUUAGUUUUGAAAUUUAAAAUAUCUGCAAUUGUGUGUGAUGUGCCUGCAAGAUCAUUUAUUUUAGGGACAAAGUGUCAUAGUGGUUACAGUUCUUGCGGAAAGUGCGACAUAAAAGGCGAAUAUUUGGAUAAUCGGGUAACAUUUCCUCCGGGAAAUUAUAAUUUAAGAAAUAACGAAUCUUUUCGAUCAAAAUUUGACCAGGCUCAUCAUAAUCAGGACUCUAUAAUAGAAUUACUUUCUAUAGAUUUAGUAGAAGAUGUGCCGGUUGAUUUUAUGCAUCUUGUAUGUUUAGGAGUGACGAGAAAGUUAUUGUUUUUAUGGUCGAAAGGAAAAAAGUGUACAGGGCGCUUGCGACCUCAUCAAAUUGACCAAUUAUCCAUUAAUUUGUUAAAUAUCAAGAAGUCAAUACCAAAGGAAUUUGCACGAAAACCGCGUCCAAUUAGGGAUGUAGAUCAUUGGAAGGCAACCGAAUUUAGGCAGUUUAUUUUAUACACUGGUCCUGUAGUGUUGAAAAAAAUUCUUCCUCUGCCAUUUUACCAACAUUUCUUAUGUUUUCACAUUGCAAUUGCAAUUCUUGCCAAUCCUAACACCUAUCUCAGCAAAAAUAAUUACGCAGGGGAACUAUUAGAAUAUUUUGUGAAUAACUUUGGUUCAUUGUAUGGAAAGAAAUAUUACAGUCAUAAUUUGCACAGUUUAUUGCAUUUAUCUCGAGAUUGCAGUCGACACGGUCCUCUUGACCGCUUUAGUGCGUUUCCAUUUGAGAAUAAACUACAACAAAUAAAGAGAUUGGUCAGAUCUCCAUCUUACCCCUUGCAACAAGUUUGCCGGCGGUUGAUGGAAAGAGAAGAAGUUGAGUUGGCUGACCACGUUGAAAAAUAUGAACAACUAAAAUUUUGCCAGGUUGAAACUAAUUCAAGUGAGAGAUCUGAGUGUUUUAGAGUGUGCAAAUUUACCAAUUUUGAACUAUCAGACAAACCAGGAAAUAAUAUUUGCAAGUUAAAAGACGGAAGUGUUAUAAAAAUCCACUAUUUUGUUCGAUCUUCUCCUCCAGAAAUAAUUGGGAAAAAGUUUAAAAGAAGCGAAGAUUUUUUUCACUCUCCGUGUCCAUCAUCUUUAAUUGGUGUGCAAAUUGUGAAAGAAUUGAGUAAUAUAAGAAGAUUUGACCUUAAUUUAGUUGAAACAAAGUGUGUACUUCUUCCACUGGAAACAGAAUUAAUGUGUUAUCCUCUAAUUCACAGUGCAAUCCAGUGACUUUUUACCAUGCGAUUUUCUAUAGUAAAUUUUAUUGAAACUAACGAGAUAGAGAUUAUCCCAAUAAAUUGGUUGUCACCAUCAAGAGAUAAAUGCUGGUGGCCGCCGUUUAAAUCUACCGAACGCCAAUUGAAGGCCGCUAUGGGUGGAGACAAUCCAAGUAAACAAUGGUUAUCAUUCGACGUGAAGGUUGUUGGAGGAGGUAAAAUAUUUGAAUCAUACCAACAAGCCAAGAGUCAGCUUGGCAAAGCCUUGGAUGAAACCGAACCGGAAUUUGAAAGUGAUUUCGAAGUGACAGGUCGUGGGCAACGUCACAAGAAAAGUCAGCGUCAGGAAGAGUCAAGCGAUUCGG